AAUCGUUUUGUCGGGGGUUAGUAGGCCUUGUGUUUGCUGGCUCUGUCUGCACAUUACCCUGUUUUUUGCGCACCUAUUGUUUCCUCGGCAGGCUCGCCUGCCAGUAGGACCCCAUUUCAACCUUUUGUAAUUGUAAUCAGCGUCAGAAAAAACUUAAUAGUUA
rnacentral:misc_RNA from 1 species